UACGUAGGGUGCGAGCGUUAAUCGGAAUUACUGGGCGUAAAGCGUGCGCAGGCGGUUCGCCAAGUCAGGUGUGAAAUCCCCGGGCUUAACCUGGGAAUUGCGCUUGAAACUAGCGGGCUUGAGUGCGGCAGAGGGGGGUGGAAUUCCACGUGUAGCAGUGAAAUGCGUAGAGAUGUGGAGGAACACCGAUGGCGAAGGCAGCCCCCUGGGUCGACACUGACGCUCAUGCACGAAAGCGUGGGGAGCAAACAGG
rnacentral:rRNA from 1 species